rnacentral:rRNA from 1 species
CUACGGGAGGCAGCAGUGGGGAAUAUUGGACAAUGGGCGAAAGCCUGAUCCAGCCAUGCCGCGUGUGUGAAGAAGGCCUUCGGGUUGUAAAGCACUUUCAGUGGGGAAGAAAGCCUUGGGGCUAAUACCCUCGAGGAAGGACAUCACCCACAGAAGAAGCACCGGCUAACUCCGUGCCAGCAGCCGCGGUAAUACGGAGGGUGCGAGCGUUAAUCGGAAUUACUGGGCGUAAAGCGCGCGUAGGCGGUCUGAUAAGCCGGUUGUGAAAGCCCCGGGCUCAACCUGGGAAUGGCAUCCGGAACUGUCAGGCUAGAGUGCAGGAGAGGAAGGUAGAAUUCCCGGUGUAGCGGUGAAAUGCGUAGAGAUCGGGAGGAAUACCAGUGGCGAAGGCGGUCUUCUGGACUGACACUGACGCUGAGGUGCGAAAGCGUGGGUAGCAAACAGGAUUAGAUACCCCUGUAGUC